rnacentral:rRNA from 1 species
GACGAACGCUGGCGGCGUGCUUAACACAUGCAAGUCGAACGGAAAGGCCCUGCUUUUGUGGGGUGCUCGAGUGGCGAACGGGUGAGUAACACGUGAGUAACCUGCCCUUGACUUUGGGAUAACUUCAGGAAACUGGGGCUAAUACCGGAUAGGAGCUCCUGCUGCAUGGUGGGGGUUGGAAAGUUUCGGCGGUUGGGGAUGGACUCGCGGCUUAUCAGCUUGUUGGUGGGGUAGUGGCUUACCAAGGCUUUGACGGGUAGCCGGCCUGAGAGGGUGACCGGCCCCACUGGGACUGGGAUACGGCCCAGACUCCUACGGGAGGCAGCAGUGGGGAAUAUUGCACAAUGGGCGGAAGCCUGAUGCAGCAACGCCGCGUGCGGGAUGACGGCCUUCGGGUUGUAAACCGCUUUCGCCUGUGACGAAGCGUGAGUGACGGUAAUGGGUAAAGAAGCACCGGCUAACUACGUG